UACGUAGGUGGCAAGCGUUGUCCGGAAUUAUUGGGCGUAAAGCGCGCGCAGGCGGCCUCUUAAGUCUGAUGUGAAAGCCCCCGGCUCAACCGGGGAGGGCCAUUGGAAACUGGGAGGCUUGAGUAUAGGAGAGAGAGUGAAUUCCACGUGUAGCGGUGAAAUGCGUAGAGAUGUGGAGGAACACCAGUGGCGAAGGCGACUCUUUGGCCUAUAACUGACGCUGAGGCGCGAAAGCGUGGGGAGCAAACAGG
rnacentral:rRNA from 1 species